rnacentral:sRNA from 1 species
GUCCCAAUGGACAUGCCGCCAAUCUUGAAGCUUCUGCUUGUCACCUCGGUUUUCCUGAUCGACUUCACCUACUUCGAGGAUCGUAACCAGGAUCAACAUCGUAACGGCGGAAUGCAUAGCGGAAUGCAUAGCAGCUUCUAAACUUAUAAAGGAUCCUGUUCACAAAUUCACUUGCAAACUAGAAUAAACUAGUUUUUUCUGGCUUCUUCUUACUAUACCUACUAGCUGAUAAUUUCUCAGCAAAAGAUUGCGUUUUCUGGGCACAAAUGACUUGUUAAAAUUGCGAUAACUAAUACACGUGCAGCAGACAACAAUUCCGCAGAUAAUUUCCUAUUUUUUUCCAACAGAAAUUUAAAUCUGACGUGAAGUUCCACAUAGUACAAUCAGAUCAGAUUUUCAAAAUUAAUUUAUUUCCGACUUGUGACCAACACUUUUCUAUGUGAGUUUUCUUAUUUCUCUUGGUUUUCCCUCAAAACCCGCAUAAUUUUUUCAGAAAAUGAAUAUUCAACCGGGACAGCUACCAUUGAAAGCAAUUAGCUUAACGUCCGCGGUGAAGUCACCUGAGGAGGUUGAGCAGGAUUCAAAGAAGGAUGAGCCACGUGCCGAGGGAGCGGGGUUCGGUAGAAGAAACAAUGCUGGAACGAAGCUGCCAGCGGCGAGAUCGACGCCAAUGAAAAUUCCGAAUCAGGUGGCAGCGAUGCCGGUUCAGAUGACUGUAAGUCAUUCUAGCUAAUGGUGACCGCUCUAAAUUCUGACUUUUCAGGGCUUCGUUCAGCUUGCCAGCAACAACAUCCUCAGCGCAAUCGCCCAUACCAACUCUCUGAUGGUUGUCCAAUGCAUCGAACCGCUCGAGAUCUUCACCGGAUUCGAGACUCCAAAUCGCUAUGUGGUCCACGACAUGUACUGUCGUCCGCUGCUUUAUUGUAUGGAAAGAUCAAACGUCUUUGCUCGUCAGUACCACGGAAACAAUCGUAACUUCGGAAUGCAGAUCAUGGAUACGCACGGAGCCCAGGUGAUGACUUGCUUUCGAGGAAGACCAUGCUGCUCAUGCGAUGAUUUCCUGAGCACCCAGUUCCUCGAUCAGCAGAUUGGGAUGAUGAAGAGGGAGUGCUGUAAUCCUAACGUGAGUUUUGGACGAUAACCACCGCCAGUAAUAACUACAGUACUACAUUAAACUACAGUACCCUAACAUUUAUAGAGGCAUGAGAAUAUAGGAAACAUUUUAACAAUACAUUGUGAACAGUCCUAAAGUGGUGUCAGGCUGUCUCAUACCGGUACGAUCUACAAAAAAUGCGGGUGUUUUCCGCCCAGAAAAGUGUGCCAAAACUGUGCGUCUCAAUAUUGUAGAUCAUAUGGGACAUCAUGAUACCCCGAUAAAACCACAAUGCCACGUCCUAUGCCGAUCAUUUUGUGAAAGUAGGGUUGUUAGUCGAUGAUCUAGGGAUCUAAAUUGUUCCGAGCUAUCACAAGGGAAUUCUUAUACCUAACACCUUUCAUUUGCUAGUCCUAGAUUCUUUUAGUUCGAGCUCAUCGGAUCCGGCUGCAACCAGCCCCUGCUCAUCCAAUCUCCAGUUUGUGCUGGCUGUGGUGGUACUCAGAAAUUUCCAGUUAUGACCUACAAUGGCGCACUCGUCGGAGAAAUCGUCCGCCUCUACCCGGGAUUCAUGCAGGAGAUGUUCACCGAUGCGGACACCUAUAUUGUUCAUU